CUAUGAGGUGUCACCAGGGCACGCGUGGACCAGCCAUCCCACGUAAGUUAGAAAGGAGCAUAAAAGAUGGAGAACCGUGGUGUGUCACUCAGAACAGCUACGGCCCUCCAUCUGCUUACCAGCCCAUCUGAGAAGAUGAAACUCACCUGCAUCGUCCUUCUUCUUCUUGGAGCUCUGGUCUCCCUGAGCUUCUCUCAGCACAGCAAUCUACCACCUGUAUGCUGCAUAAAAUACGUUGAAGGCAGAAUUCCAGCAUCAGCAGUGACAUCCUGUGAAGUAACAGAUACCAGAUGUCCCAUGAUGGCUGUAAUCAUAACCACAAGAAAAGGAGACAGGGUAUGCAUUAACCCAGAGAAGCAAGCAAGAAUAAUGAAGAAAUGUUCAUCACUGAACAAAAAGAAGGAUGCUUAAAUGAACCACACACAUGUACAGUGAUGUAAAUGGUUCUGUAUGCUUUCAUUUCUUUUUCAUUUUCUUAUUUCGUUUUAUCGUUAUGUGUUUUUUGGUUGGAAUAGAAAUUUAUGGUUAUAAAUAAAAUAUAAUGUAUAAAUAAAUCUCAAACUGGGUCUGAUUUUUUGGGGAAAUACUUCCACACACAAAUCUGUGAAUAUUCCAUAGUGUGGAGACUUGCAAUUUGGCAGAAAAGGCCCCAAACCAAGACCAGCAACUUAACUG